rnacentral:rRNA from 1 species
CGAACGCUGGCGGCGUGCCUAAUACAUGCAAGUCGAACGCACUCUCGUUUAGAUUGAAGGAGCUUGCUCCUGAUUGAUAAACAUUUGAGUGAGUGGCGGACGGGUGAGUAACACGUGGGUAACCUGCCCUAAAGUGGGGGAUAACAUUUGGAAACAGAUGCUAAUACCGCAUAAAACCUAACACCGCAUGGUGUAGGGUUGAAAGAUGGUUUCGGCUAUCACUUUAGGAUGGACCCGCGGUGCAUUAGUUAGUUGGUGAGGUAAAGGCUCACCAAGACCGUGAUGCAUAGCCGACCUGAGAGGGUAAUCGGCCACACUGGGACUGAGACACGGCCCAGACUCCUACGGGAGGCAGCAGUAGGGAAUCUUCCACAAUGGACGAAAGUCUGAUGGAGCAACGCCGCGUGAGUGAAGAAGGUUUUCGGAUCGUAAAACUCUGUUGUUGGAGAAGAAUGUAUCUGAUAGUAACUGAUCAGGUAGUGACGGUAUCCAACCAGAAAGCCACGGCUAACUACGUG